rnacentral:rRNA from 1 species
CCUACGGGUGGCAGCAGUGGGGAAUAUUGGGCAAUGGGCGCAAGCCUGACCCAGCAACGCCGCGUGAAGGAUGAAGGCUUUCGGGUUGUAAACUUCUUUUGACAGGGAAGAGUAGAAGAUGGUACCUGCCGCAUUAGCUUCGCCUAACUACGUGCCAGCAGCCGCGCUAAUACGUAGGGGGCAAGCGUUGUCCGGAUUUACUGGGUGUAAAGGGCGUGUAGCCGGGUUGACAAGUCAGGUGUGAAAUCCUGCGGCUUAACCGCAGAACUGCAUUUGAAACUGGUGAUCUGGAGUACUGGAGAGGCAGACGGAAUUCCAGGUGUAGCGGUGAAAUGCGUAGAUAUUAGGAGGAACACCAGUGGCGAAGGCGAUCUGCUGGACAGCAACUGACGGUGAGGCGCGAAAGCGUGGGGAGCAAACAGGAUUAGAUACCCGAGUAGUC